ensembl:snoRNA
UGACAACACUCUCCGGAAUCGCUGCACUGCCAUGAUGAAAGGUCCUUUAAACCCUUUGCAGAAUGAUGACCUUGGGCUUCUGUG